GGAGAGGGGAGUGGAGGAGUGCACAGGGCUUGAUACUCGUUAGACAGCUGUGGAGACAAUGCUUUUGUUAAUGCAGCACAAAGUCUGGAUGGUGCGGCCUGACUCCAAAUUAAUUCUGAAGGGACAGGCAGGAUCUUGUGCAUAACUUCCUGUGUACUUUGCAGAGGCUGCUCUCAAAGGCGGCUAAAAAGCACUUUUAGAGCACCUAGAGCAGCUCCUGGUGAAGCUCCUGGUGAAGCGCAACCGGAAGGGGGAAGGAUAGCCCCAAGGUUGAAAGGAGCUGGACGGACCAACUGGGACCCGACAUUCAAGCAGGGAAGUAACCAGAAGUUGGGUGAAUUGUUUAACCCUGAAUGAAGAGGGGAAAGGGACAUUUUGUGUUGGACUUUUGAGUUGGGUUGAAGAACCUACCUUUGAGUUUUCUUUGUGUGAAGAAAUACCUGAGUUGUACCUUUUUGAAUUAAAAACCUUCUUUUUACCUCCCAUUGUGACUGAUUCAUCAGUUAACUGCACUGCCCAGCCCG
ensembl:lncRNA